rnacentral:rRNA from 1 species
UGGGGAAUAUUGGACAAUGGGCGCAAGCCUGAUCCAGCAAUGCCGCGUGAGUGAUGAAGGCCUUAGGGUUGUAAAGCUCUUUCGCACGCGACGAUGAUGACGGUAGCGUGAGAAGAAGCCCCGGCUAACUUCGUGCCAGCAGCCGCGGUAAUACGAAGGGGGCUAGCGUUGUUCGGAAUUACUGGGCGUAAAGGGCGCGUAGGCGGCCUGUUUAGUCAGAAGUGAAAGCCCCGGGCUCAACCUGGGAAUAGCUUUUGAUACUGGCAGGCUUGAGUUCCGGAGAGGAUGGUGGAAUUCCCAGUGUAGAGGUGAAAUUCGUAGAUAUUGGGAAGAACACCGGUGGCGAAGGCGGCCAUCUGGACGGACACUGACGCUGAGGCGCGAAAGCGUGGGGAGCAAACAGAUUGGAUACCCUGGUAGUCCACGCCGUAAACGAUGAAUGCUAGACGUCGGGGUGCAUGCACUUCGGUGUCGCCGCUAACGCA